rnacentral:lncRNA from 1 species
CCGGACUCUAAAGAAAAGGAUUCUGGCACCAAUUCACUUCUUGCAAUAUCAAGACUGCCAGUCAGGUUGUCUGUUGCACUAUAAUCGACUUGUUCAGACUCCAAGGAAGUGGACAAUGGCACAACUCCAUUCAUGUCAGGAUCGACACUGCCAGUCUCAUUGGCUGUUGCACUAUAAUCAACUUGUUCAGAGUCUGAAGAAGUGGAUACCGGCACAAAUUCAGUUAUGUCAGCAUCAACACUGCCAGUAAGAUUGUCGGUUGCACUAUAACCAACUUCUUCAGACUCUAAGGUAGUGGAUACUGGCACCAAAUCACUCAUUUCAGCAUCGACGCUGCCAGUCAGAUUGUCUGUUGCACUAUAACCAACUUGUUCAGACUCUAAGGUAGUGGAUACUGGCACCAAAUCACUCAUUUCAGCACCGACACUGCCAGUCAGAUUUUCUGUUGCACUAUAACCAACUUGUUCAGACUCUAAGGUAGUGGAUACUGGCACCAAAUCACUCAUUUCAGCAUCGGCACUGCCAGUCAGAUUGUCUGUUGCACUAUAACCAACUUGUUCAGACUCUAAGGUAGUGGAUACUGGCACCAAAUCACUCAUUUCAACAUCGACACUGCCAAUCAAAUUGUCUGUUUCAAUAUAACCAACUUGUUCAGACUCUAUGGUAGUGGAUACUGGCAUCGAUUCACUCAUGUCAGCAUCGAAACUGCCAGUCAAAUUGUCUGUUGCACUAAAACCAUCUUGUUCAGACUCUGAAAAAGUGGAUACCGGCACAGAUUCAGUUAUGUCAGACUCAACACUGUCAGUCAGAUUGUCU